CUCUAUGGUCUGGAGGUUUUCUCGCUCCAGUGCCUUCAGGGUAGUUUGCCGAGAGGCGUCUCCGACAGGUUUACAGUGAUUUACAAAUUGUAGCGACAAACUGUAGCAGAAGCUCUUUCACACAUCGACAUUAUCGUACAUAUAUCUCACGAAAUCCUGCAAAGGAGGAGCCAGGACUCCUUGGAGAAAUGACGAUUCCAGGACUGCUGAAGGAAAUAUGCAAGAUGAGCCUGGAGUGUUGUGCCAGAAGUAAGGAAGUGCUUAAAAACCAAAACAAAAAACCCUACUGUGAUGAAGCUAUGUCAAAGAGACAAGGAAGGGGGAUAUAACUCCUCACUCCUUAACUGUGGGCUGUGUAGAGUGAUUCCUUCCAAAGAGCACAAUAUGGGAAAGCGAGGAAAGAGGAACCACACAGUGGAGAAAGCUGCCAAACACCAGCAAAGCCGAGUCAAGGCCAUGCUACACUGGCAUUUGAGAUCUUAGUUCCCCAACCAAGGAUCAGACUGGUGCCCCCUUCAGUCGGAGCAUGAAUUUUUUUUUUCCUUCGCUUCGCUAACAAAGAUUUAUUAUUUUUGUCUUUCUUUUUAAUUUAGUUAUUUUUAAUUGAAGGAUAAUUGUUGUUUACUGUGUUGGUUUCUACCAUAUAUCAACAUAAAUCAGCCAUAGGUAUACAUAUACCCACCCUCCCUCUUGAACCUUCCUUCCACCUCCCACUGGGAGCAAGAAGUCUUAACCACUGCCAUUGAAGUUUUUCUUCAUUUUUUAAAAAAAAUAUACUUAUUUAUUUAUUUGGGUGUACCAGUCUUAGUUUUGGCAUGUGGGAUCUAGUUCCCUGACCAGGGAUCAAACCUGGGCCUCCUGCACUGGGAGCAUGGAGUCUUAGCCGCUGGACCCAGGGAGGCCCCAAUUUUUUUUUUCUUUUUAUAGAUCUUAAACUUUUCUAAAAAAUAAAGUCUAUUUGAAAAAAAAAAAAAACGCAAGCCAAGAUCACCACAAGAUCAACUCCAUGAAAACAGAGCCUCAGUUGUCCACCUUUGCAUCCCAGGACUGAGCACAGAGCCUAGUGUGACAGUGCUAAUGGAUACAUGUUGCGUAGGGAGAUGGUACCUUGCAUGGUAUAAUGUUGAUGAUGAGUUUUUAAGGGGACUUUUAUUUGUCUGGGCUUCUCUGCAUUUCAAGGUCAAUCCACUUAUGUUAGAACUAAAAAAGGCUUUAAUAUAGCCCCAAGUGGAAACUGAGGUCCAGAGAGGUCCAGGUACUUGCCCAAGGUCAUAGAGCUAAUGAAUGACUUCCAGACCAGUGCUCUUUCUACUGUGUCACAAGAUCUGAGCUGUUUCCUCAGCUGCAAAAUGAGUAUACCAUAACUUUUAAGGUUCUUAAAAAACGAAAGUGUUAGUCACUCAGUCAUGUCCAACUUUUUGUGAUCCCAUGGACUGUAUGUAGCCCGCCAGGCUCCUCUGUUCGUGGAAUUUUCCAGGUAAGAAUACUGGCAUGGGUAGCCAUUCCCUUCUCCAGGAAAUCUUCCAGACCCAGGGAUCAAACCUGGGUCUCCUGCAUUGGAGGCAGAUUAUUUACCGUCUGAGCCACCAGAGAAGCUUAAAUAACUUCUAUGAAGUGCCUAGUGAGCAUUUCUAAAUGAUGGUUAUUAUUGUUGAGAUGAUGAUACCUGAUUUCAAUAUCUCUUGAUGCUUUAUCAGUCCUAUUUUCUGUUCUCCCACACUCAGGGAACUACAACAGAUUUGUUUUCUACUUUUACCUUAAAAAU